GUCUGGGUAGCUCAGUGGUAAAAGCGAUCGUCCGGUAUGCGAUAGAUCCGGGUUCGAUUCCCGGUCCAGCCG